rnacentral:rRNA from 1 species
AUACGGGGGGUGCAAGCGUUAAUCGGAAUUACUGGGCGUAAAGCGCGCGUAGGCGGUUUUGCAAGUCGGAUGUGAAAGCCCAGGGCUCAACCUUGGAAUUGCAUUCGAAACUGCUUGACUAGAGUAUGGUAGAGGGAAGUGGAAUUUCCGGUGUAGCGGUGAAAUGCGUAGAUAUCGGAAGGAACACCAGUGGCGAAGGCGACUUCCUGGGCCAAUACUGACGCUCAGGCGCGAAAGCGUGGGGAGCAAACAGGAUUAGAUACCCCAGUAGUCC